ensembl:lncRNA
UGUUUAUGUCUACACCCCAUGCUACGUGUGAUUUCCUGUGGGAUAAUUAAAUUCUGUGGUUUGUACUCCUGGUCUCCAUGUUCCUUGCUCUGUGCUCCUCACAGUAGCAUACGUGUGCCAGAAUACUGGACCAAAAAAAAAAAAAAUGAUGAUGGCUGAGGAUAAGCUGUGGGGUUUGUGGCAAGCCGGUCGGAGGUUGGAGCGGCAUGUGGAGGAUUUCAUUGAGCUAGUUUACUGAUGCUGCUCUUGGUGCGUUCUUUCUACUGGGACUGGACAACGAAAUGAUCCGCUGUGAUCUUCCUGUCUCUGAUUUUCCCCUGAUCGAGCUGAUUAAUCUCGUACUCUUUUUGAAUGUCCCUUUUUGUCGGCUCCAGCCCCAGAGCUCGCUCCAGUGUUGGCUCCAGCCCCAGAGCUCUCUCCAGUGUCGGCUCCAGCCCCAGAGCUCUCUCCAGUGUCGGCUCCAGCCGCAGAGCUCGCUCCAGUGUCGGCUCCAGCCCCAGAGCUCACUCCAGUGUCGGCUCUAACCCCAGAGCUCACUCCAGUGCCAGCUCCUCGAAAGUGCUUUGCUGUGACUGCUCCUCCAGAGCAUCCUCCAGUGCCAGCACCAUGUAAGCGCAUCCCCGAUCCCGAGUUAAGCCCAGGAAGGGCUCCCGAUCCCCAGUUCAGCCCAGGAGAGGCUUCUUUUCCUGAGUAUAGCCCACGGAGAACUCUCGAUCCCCAGUCAAGGCCAGGAAGGGCUCCUGAUCCCCAGUCAAGCCCAGGGAAGGCUCCCGAUCCAGAGUCAAGCCCAGGAUGGGCUCCCGUUCCCAAGUAAAGCCCAUGAUGGGCUCCCGUUCCCAAGUAAAGCCCAGGAUUGGCUCCCGUUCCCUCAUUAAGCCCUGGGAGGGCUCCAGGCCCCGAGAACAGCCCAGUAAAUUUCCCCAAGGCUGGGGCCGCGGCCUCGGAAGCUGCUCCACCAUGGCAGUCUUUCCUGUAGGGAUCUCCAAGUUGCCUGCCCUCCCACCCAUAUGAUGUUGUAUGGCGCGAGGACGUGCCUUCCAGAAGGGGGCUUCAUGUCAGGCUUGUGUUGUGUUUUGUUCCCUUGUGCUCCCUAUGUCCCAGUGUUUAUGUCCAUAUUUGGUUAGUUUCCUGUUCCUGUCCUGAUCAUGUUGAUUUCAUUCCAGGUGUCCCCUGUUUAAUUUCCAUUGAUUCCAGGUGUGUCUCAUCCCCUCCUCCUGUCAUGUGCUGAAAUUGUGUUCCCUGUUUUCAGUUCAGCGUCCGGUAUUGUUUGUCUACACCCUGUGCUAUGUGUGUUCCCUGUGGGAUAAUUAAACUCUGUGGUUUGUACUCCUG